AGAAUCAACGCUGGCGGCGUGCCUAACACAUGCAAGUCGAACGAGAAAGUGGAGCAAUCCAUGAGUACAGUGGCGACCGGGUGAGUAACACGUGACCAAUCUACCUUCGAGUGGGGGAUAACUCCGGGAAACCGGGCUAAUACCGCAUAACAUCUUUGGAAUGCAAAUUCCGUUGAUCAAAGGAGCAAUUCGCUUGAAGAGGAGGUCGCGGCUGAUUAGUUAGUUGGCGGGGUAAUGGCCCACCAAGACGAAGAUCGGUA
rnacentral:rRNA from 1 species